GUGCUCACUUCAGCAGCACAUAUACUAAAAUUAGAAUGACACAGAGAAGGUUAGCAUGGUCCCUGUGCAAGGAUGACACGUAAAAUAAGAAUUCAAAUGAAACAAUG